GUCGCCAUAGUGUAGUGGUUAUCACGCAUCCUUUACACGGAUGAGGUCCCCGGUUCGAUCCCGGGUGGCGACA